GGCUUUGGGUUGGUGAUUAUUUGGUUUCCAAUUGGAAGAAGGUUCCUAAAAAGAGAAGAACACUAUAUAGCGAAUCAAUGUAUUGCCAUCCUGCAUAAAGAGCUGUCUAUUCUAAACGAACAACUACCAGAAUCAAACAGUUCAUCUUCGUGACUUUGUCAUUGCCUUCUUAUGUAUAAACAAAACCAGAGGCAAUCUGUCCCAAAACCCAAUCCCCUAGAGCUUUGUAAUGCUAGACUACGUCACAGGUUUCAGCAACUGACGGAAAUAUUCAGCCUGCAAUAGCAUAUGGAAAUGGACCAACAUUAUUAAUAACAUAUUGAUAAAUUCAAAAUUAUAUAAUCCAAUAAGCUAUUCUUAAGGAGAAGCAAACAAGAAAGCAGAGAUGAUAACACUAUAUACAGUAACAAAGCACAACAUUUCCACACAAAUAUGGCACUACCUGAUAAAGAGAAACAGUAAAAUACAACCUUCAUUUAAACUCAAGUAUGGAUAAGGGUAUAAAUUUAGCACAAUCUCACACAAAUUCCAUUAUUCAUUGCAACAGACAUCUUAUAAUGUUUCUAAAUUCCAAAAUUCCUAACUGUGCAAUUUGUUGGGAUUUAGCCAUGACAUAAUCACAUCAGGGGCUAUAAAUAAAAGUUAAACCAACAGCAGAACAGCCAUAAACCUGCUUCAGAGAGAGUACAAUGUACACAACAAGCUAACUAAGAAAAAAAAAACAACAAAAGGUUUGUCUCUGAUCUUUAGUUCACUUACACUUGGUUCUCUAGUUUUUCCUAUCCUGGACACAAGCAGGAAAAGAGAAAACGAAGAAGCACAGGAACAUUCAACUAUAUACUAAUAAAUUAAGAUAAACAUUGUCAAAAAUAACAGCAAAUGGAAGUAACAGCUUUAAAACUUCUCUAAAAUCAGUAAUCUGUUCAAAACUUGCAAUGCAUCCAGCUUUGUAAACGAUUAUCAGGGGCUCUUCAAGAAAUCACCACUUAAAAACUCUACUGGCUAUAAAUAUCAUCCAAGACCGAUGAAUAACAUUUCCAGUAACAAUAAAAUAACCAUCAAACAUAUAUUACAAGCACUACAAGAAUAAAACACAGAAAAUAUACAAUAAAAUUUAUAAGCAAACAGAGAUUACACUUUUACCUGGCAAACUUGCAUCACUUGGUAAUACGCAGUAAUCCCAACUAUCAUUUUAAUCUUCCCUACUUCCUUCACAGCACGAUACCUCUUUAUGGUUACCGCAAUGUACAUUCUCGCACCUCAAACCGCUUUUAAAUAGAAACCACACUAAAUAUAAGGGUUCCUUCACCAAUCAAAGAGGAUU
rnacentral:misc_RNA from 1 species